AGCCCAUGAUGAGGGCACUGUCUGAGCAUACUCUUGAAUAUGUCCCAUGUUUCAAAUAAUGAUUCUGAGUCUGUAUGUCUGAAACUUGCUAUUAGAUUCCUCAUGUG